rnacentral:tRNA from 1 species
GGCGAUGUGUCUGAGCGGCCAAAAGAAACAGUCUGCAAAACUGUACAGCCACGGGUUCGAAUCCCGUCGUCGCCU